UGCCAGAUAGCGGCGCAGCUGAUCAGCAUGCCGCGUGCAGAGAAGGCCUUCGGGUUGUAAACUGCUUUUGUACGGAACGAAACGGUCCUGGUUAAUACCCGGGGCUAAUGACGGUACCGUACGAAUAAGCACCGGCUAACUACGUGCCAGCAGCCGCGGUAAU
rnacentral:rRNA from 1 species